GUGCCUCAUUCUGCAGCUGCUCUGGCUUUCUUUAGCUCAGGCUUCAUGCAGAGUGGGUGCUUCAGGAGGCUGGCAAACUGUGAAAUCAGCAGUGCUUUCCCUCUUGUGCCAGUACUGCACCCGCAACGAGGAAACCUUGGGAAGCUCAUUUCGGUAUGAUUUUCUGGUGUUUCAGGUAGCCCUGAGGGGAGAAAGACAUGUACUCUGUGAUUUCUUGUGAAUAAAAGAGCAUGCAGAUGUGAAGGCAGAAUUCAAAAGCCUCCCGAAGCAAUGAAAAGACAAAGCUAUUCAUGUGCUGGUGGUAUUCUUCUUCGUGUUACACCAAAGUGCAUCGGUGAAUGUAAGAAGUUAGCAAGUAAUAUGGACAUUUCACAUUCGUGGAGAGUUGGGGCAGUCAGUAAUACACCUUAUCUCAACCUUUGGUAGCCGCCUUCACCCUAAUGGUUAUGAGGGAUUCAGAUAUUUUUCAUGUGCACUCAGGACAUCUUUCUGAGACUAGUAAGUAAUACGUAAAAAGUCAAAAGGGAAAAUAAGUUCCACCUCUGCUUCCUUUAGUGCGCUUUUACAGACAUGCUAGGAGAGUAUGGGAAGAAGAACAGGAAGAAGGAUGAAAGGAAGGUUAUUUGUAGAUGCUUUAUUGGAAAACAUCUCACUUUCUAUAGCACAAGAUUUCAUGCCCUAGAGAGAGACUGAAACUCCUCGCAAGACCUUUUGGUAAGGAACCAAGAACUUAAGCAACAGUGGACAUGUUGAACAGAGAAGGACACGUCUAUGGUGACCCUUGCCUCUGAUAGCAUCUGUGAAGUGAGCACAGGUCUUUUGGUGUCUCUGGGUAUUAUUUCUCUCUGCAGUGGCAAGAGGACAGAUCAGCUAAAGUGGCAGCAGUCAGUCACUGAGCUCACCAGGGCUCUCUGCAGACACAGGUCCCAGUGGUGGAGAAUGAGUCCUCAUGAAGAAGGCUGGGAGGUCUUGGUUCCGUGGGUCCAGAUAGCAGGUACCAGCUGGGCCCUAGAGCUCCAUAAGAUUGGCAUUAUCCUGUAG
rnacentral:lncRNA from 1 species